rnacentral:rRNA from 1 species
UCUGGUUGAUCCUGCCUGAACUGAUGUGUUCAUUUCAAAGAUUAAGCCAUGCAUGUAUAAGUUUAAUCGUUUUAACGAGAAACCGCGAACGGCUCAUUACAAUGGCCAUGAUUUACUUGAUCUUGAUUAUCUAAAUGGAUAACUGUGGAAAAGCUAGAGCUAAUACAUGCACCAAAGCUUUGUCCUCUCGGAAAAGCGCAUUUAUUAGAACAAAACCACGCGGCUUCGGCUGCUUCUUGUUGACUCAAGAAUAACUAAGCUGACCGCAUGGCCUUGUGCCGGCGGCGUGUCUUUCAAGCGUCCACUUUAUCAACUUGACGGGAGCAUAAUCGACUCCCGUGGUGGUGACGGAUAACGGAGGAUCAGGGUUCGACUCCGGAGAAGGGCCUGAGAAAUGGCCACUACGUCUAAGGAUGGCAGCAGGCGCGCAAAUUACCCACUCUCGGCUCGAGGAGGUAGUGACGAGAAAUAACGAGAUCGUUCUCUUUGAGGCCGGUCAUCGGAAUGGGUACAAUUUAAACCCUUUAACGAGUAUCAAGCAGAGGGCAAGUCUGGUGCCAGCAGCCGCGGUAACUCCAGCUCUGCUAAUACAUAGAAUUAUUGCUGCGGUUAAAAAGCUCGUAGUUGGAUUCGUAUCGGUACCCUGGAACCCUCCGGGUGUUUCUGGGUGUUAUCGAUUUAUCGUAAUGUUCGGUUUUGAGUCCUUAACAGGAUUCUUAACAGGCAUUGUAAGUUUACUUUGAACAAAUCAGAGUGCUUCAAACAGGCGUUUUCGCUUGAAUGAGCGUGCAUGGAAUAAUAGAAAACGAUUUCGGUUCAGUUUUAUUGGUUUUACGGACUGAGAUAAUGGUUAACAGAGACAAACGGGGGCAUUUGUAUGGCCCCGUGAGAGGUGAAAUUCUUGGACCGUGGCCAGACAAACUACAGCGAAAGCAUUUGCCAAGAAUGUCUUCAUUAAUCAAGAACGAAAGUCAGAGGUUCGAAGGCGAUCAGAUACCGCCCUAGUUCUGACCGUAAACGAUGCCAACUAGCGAUCCGCCGAUGGAAAUUUAUUGCCUUGGUGGGGAGCUUCCCGGAAACGAAAGUCUUCCGGUUCCGGGGGAAGUAUGGUUGCAAAGCUGAAACUUAAAGGAAUUGACGGAAGGGCACCACCAGGAGUGGAGCCUGCGGCUUAAUUUGACUCAACACGGGGAAACUCACCCGGCCCGGACACUGUGAGGAUUGACAGAUUGAUAGCUUUUUCAUGAUUCAGUGGAUGGUGGUGCAUGGCCGUUCUUAGUUCGUGGAGUGAUUUGUCUGGUUUAUUCCGAU